AUUGAACGCUGGCGGCAGGCUUAACACAUGCAAGUCGAGCGGAGAGAGGUAGCUUGCUACUGAUCUUAGCGGCGGACGGGUGAGUAAUGCUUAGGAAUCUGCCUAUUAGUGGGGGACAACAUUUCGAAAGGAAUGCUAAUACCGCAUACGUCCUACGGGAGAAAGCAGGGGAUCUUCGGACCUUGCGCUAAUAGAUGAGCCUAAGUCGGAUUAGCUAGUUGGUGGGGUAAAGGCCUACCAAGGCGACGAUCUGUAGCGGGUCUGAGAGGAUGAUCCGCCACACUGGGACUGAGAGCCGGCCCAGACUCCUCCGGGAGGCAGCAGUGGGGAAUAGUGGACAAUGGGCGCAAGCCUGAUCCAGCCAUGCCGCGUGUGUGAAGAAGGCCUUAUGGUUGUAAAGCACUUUAAGCGAGGAGGAGGCUACUUUAGUUAAUACCUAGAGAUAGUGGACGUUACUCGCAGAAUAAGCACCGGCUAACUCUGUGCCAGCCGCCGCCGUAA
rnacentral:rRNA from 1 species